CGACGGCCUGCAAGGAUAUGGCAAGGCCAUCGUGUGCCUCUCCAGGACAUGACCAAAUGAAGCCAAUUCAAACAGUCAAAUUCCAACCAUUGGAACAACAUGAUUGGGGGCUUUCAGCUUGUUACAGUUGGAGUUGUUGCAUUAAGCAUGCAUUAGCACAUGCUCAUUUGCUCAUCAAAUGCAUACGAAUGACUGGGCAAAUGAAUAACUUAACUGAAAGGACGGUGCUAGCCACCUAUCUUGAAAUAGAAGCUGCACAUCAAAACUUUGUUUAAUGUUGUCUUGACUCACCGUUGCCAUGGUUUUGUAUUAGUGAUCCAACAAGUAGACCACAAAUGGACUGGACGGACGGCUUUUAUGUUUUAUAGCAUUUAGUCUUCGCUUUUGGCUUACAAAAAUGAACUGUCUUUAGUCUCAUUCUUUGUUUUUCCUCAGUUUCCGCCCACCGUUUCUAGUUUCGACAAUUGAUGGCUAUUGGGUAUUGAUUCGUA